rnacentral:rRNA from 1 species
CUUUCCCUCUUGCUUUAGGCCUAACACAUGCAAGUCGAACGGCAGCACAGUAAGAGCUUGCUCUUACGGGUGGCGAGUGGCGGACGGGUGAGGAAUACAUCGGAAUCUACUUUUUCGUGGGGGAUAACGUAGGGAAACUGACGCUAAUACCGCAUACGACCUACGGGUGAAAGCAGGGGAUCUUCGGACCUUGCGCGAUUGAAUGAGCCGAUGUCGGAUUAGCUAGUUGGCGGGGUAAAGGCCCACCAAGGCGACGAUCCGUAGCUGGUCUGAGAGGAUGAUCAGCCACACUGGAACUGAGACACGGUCCAGACUCCUACGGGAGGCAGCAGUGGGGAAUAUUGGACAAUGGGCGCAAGCCUGAUCCAGCCAUACCGCGUGGGUGAAGAAGGCCUUCGGGUUGUAAAGCCCUUUUGUUUGGAAAGAAAAGCAGCAGGUUUAUACCCCGCUGUUCUGACGGUACCCAAAGAAUAAGCACCGGCUAACUUCGUG